UUUGUUUAACCAUUUCUAACCUUUGCCUGUUGAAAGAACAUCUGGGUUGUUUUCAGUUUUUAGCUAUUGCGAGUAAACCUUCUGUGAACAUUUGUGCACAGGUUUUUGAACACUUGUGCACAGGUGUUUGUACACAGAUUUCCAUUUCUCUGGGGAAAAUGGUAGGCAUGCAAAUGUGGGUCACUUGGUAAUACCAUUUGUUAGUUUAUUAAGAAACUGCCAUAGAUGGGGUGCCUGGGUGGCUCAGU